UACGGAGGGUGCAAGCGUUAUCCGGAAUCACUGGGUUUAAAGGGUGCGUAGGUGGGCAGGUAAGUCAGUGGUGAAAUCUCCGGGCUUAACCCGGAAACUGCCAUUGAUACUAUCUGUCUUGAAUUUCCUGGAGGUAAGCGGAAUAUGUCAUGUAGCGGUGAAAUGCUUAGAUAUGACAUAGAACACCAAUUGCGAAGGCAGCUUACUACACAGUAAUUGACACUGAGGCACGAAAGCGUGGGGAUCAAACAGG
rnacentral:rRNA from 1 species